rnacentral:rRNA from 1 species
CUAACACAUGCAAGUCGAGCGGUAACAGGGAUAGCUUGCUAUCUGCUGACGAGCGGCGGACGGGUGCGUAACGCGUAGGAAUUUGCCCGAUAGUGGGGGAUAGCCCGAAGAAAUUCGGAUUAAUACCGCAUACCUUCUACGGAAGAAAGCAGGGGAUCUUCGGACCUUGCGCUAUCGGAUGAGCCUGCGUCGGAUUAGCUUGUUGGUAGGGUAAAGGCCUACCAAGGCGACGAUCCGUAGCUGGUCUGAGAGGAUGACCAGCCACACUGGGACUGAGACACGGCCCAGACUCCUACGGGAGGCAGCAGUGGGGAAUAUUGCACAAUGGGCGAAAGCCUGAUGCAGCCAUGCCGCGUGUGUGAAGAAGGCCUUAGGGUUGUAAAGCACUUUCAGCGAGGAGGAAGGGUUGUUUGCUAAUAUCAAACAGCAUUGACGUUACUCGCAG